CACGUAGGGUGCGAGCGUUGUCCGGAAUUAUUGGGCGUAAAGAGUUCGUAGGCGGUUUGUCGCGUCGUUCGUGAAAACUUGGGGCUUAACUCCAAGCGUGCGGGCGAUACGGGCAGACUUGAGUACUACAGGGGAGACUGGAAUUCCUGGUGUAGCGGUGAAAUGCGCAGAUAUCAGGAGGAACACCGGUGGCGAAGGCGGGUCUCUGGGUAGUAACUGACGCUGAGGAACGAAAGCGUGGGUAGCGAACAGG
rnacentral:rRNA from 1 species